UCCCUGGUGGUCCAGUGGUUAGGACUCUAUGUUUCCACUUCAGGGGGCACAGGUCCAAUUCCUUGCUGGGGAA
rnacentral:tRNA from 1 species